rnacentral:rRNA from 1 species
GGCCUAACACAUGCAAGUCGAGCGGUAACAGAGAGUAGCUUGCUACUUUUGCUGACGAGCGGCGGACGGGUGAGUAAUGCUUGGGAACAUGCCUUGAGGUGGGGGACAACAGUUGGAAACGACUGCUAAUACCGCAUAAUGUCUACGGACCAAAGGGGGCUUCGGCUCUCGCCUUUAGAUUGGCCCAAGUGGGAUUAGCUAGUUGGUGAGGUAAUGGCUCACCAAGGCGACGAUCCCUAGCUGGUUUGAGAGGAUGAUCAGCCACACUGGGACUGAGACACGGCCCAGACUCCUACGGGAGGCAGCAGUGGGGAAUAUUGCACAAUGGGCGCAAGCCUGAUGCAGCCAUGCCGCGUGUGUGAAGAAGGCCUUCGGGUUGUAAAGCACUUUCAGUCAGGAGGAAAGGUUAGUAGUUAAUACCUGCUAGCUGUGACGUUACUGACAGAAGAAGCACCGGCUAACUCCGUGCCAGCAGCCGCGGUAAUACGGAGGGUGCGAGCGUUAAUCGGAAUUACUGGGCGUAAAGCGUACGCAGGCGGUUUGUUAAGCGAGAUGUGAAAGCCCC